AGCGAACGCUGGCGGCAGGCCUAAUACAUGCAAGUCGAGCGGGUCCUUCGGGAUUAGCGGCGGACUGGUGAGUAACGCGUGGGAACGUGCCCUUUGGUACGGAACAACUGAGGGAAACUUCAGCUAAUACCGUAUGUGCCCUUCGGGGGAAAGAUUUAUCGCCAUUGGAGCGGCCCGCGUUGGAUUAGGUAGUUGGUGAGGUAAAGGCUCACCAAGCCUACGAUCCAUAGCUGGUCUGAGAGGAUGACCAGCCACACUGGGACUGAGACACGGCCCAGACUCCUACGGGAGGCAGCAGUAGGGAAUCUUGCGCAAUGGGCGAAAGCCUGACGCAGCCAUGCCGCGUGAAUGA
rnacentral:rRNA from 1 species